rnacentral:rRNA from 1 species
GAUCAUGGCUCAGGAUGAACGCUAGCUACAGGCUUAACACAUGCAAGUCGAGGGGCAGCAUUUUAGUUUGCUUGCAAACUGAAGAUGGCGACCGGCGCACGGGUGAGUAACACGUAUCCAACCUGCCGAUAACUCCGGGAUAGCCUUUCGAAAGAAAGAUUAACUACCGGAUAGCAUACGAAUAUCGCAUGAUAUUUUAUAAGAUUUCGGUUAUCGAUGGGAUGCGUUCCAUUUAG